AUUGAACGCUGGCGGCAGGCUUAACACAUGCAAGUUCGAGCGGAGAGAGGUAGCUUGCUACUGAUCUUAGCGGCGGACGGGUGAGUAAUACUUAGGAAUCUGGCUAUUAGUGGGGGACAACAUUUCGAAAGGGAUGCUAAUACCGCAUACGUCCUACGGGAGAAAGCAGGGGAUCUUCGGACCUUGCGCUAAUAGAUGAGCCUAAGUCGGAUUAGCUAGUUGGUGGGGUAAAGGCCUACCAAGGCGACGAUCUGUAGCGGGUCUGAGAGGAUGAUCC
rnacentral:rRNA from 1 species